GGGAUUGUAGCUCCGUGGUAGAGCACUUGCCUCACAAGCAUGAUGUACUGGGUUCAAUCCUCAGCACCA
rfam:Ictidomys tridecemlineatus contig088399, whole genome shotgun sequence.